rnacentral:tRNA from 1 species
GCGCCUGUAGCUCAGAUGGAUAGAGCAACGGCCUUCUAAGCCGUUUGUCGGUGGUUCGAUCCCACCCAGGCGUG